rnacentral:rRNA from 1 species
GCAAGUCGAGGGGUAUAUUUCUUCGGAGUAUAGAGACCGGCGCACGGGUGCGUAACGCGUAUGCAAUCUACCUUUUACAGAGGGAUAGCCCAGAGAAAUUUGGAUUAAUACCUCAUAGUAUAUCACAAUCGCAUGAUUGAGUUAUUAAAGUCACAACGGUAAAAGAUGAGCAUGCGUCCCAUUAGCUAGUUGGUAAGGUAACGGCUUACCAAGGCUACGAUGGGUAGGGGUCCUGAGAGGGAGAUCCCCCACACUGGUACUGAGACACGGACCAGACUCCUACGGGAGGCAGCAGUGAGGAAUAUUGGACAAUGGGCGCAAGCCUGAUCCAGCCAUGCCGCGUGCAGGAUGACGGUCCUAUGGAUUGUAAACUGCUUUUAUACGAGAAGAAACACUCCUUCGUGAAGGAGCUUGACGGUAUCGUAAGAAUAAGGAUCGGCUAACUCCGUGCCAGCAGCCGCGGUAAUACGGAGGAUCCAAGCGUUAUCCGGAAUCAUUGGGUUUAAAGGGUCCGUAGGCGGUUUGGUAAGUCAGUGGUGAAAGCCCAUCGCUCAACGGUGGAACGGCCAUUGAUACUGCCAGACUUGAAUUAUUAGGAAGUAACUAGAAUAUGUAGUGUAGCGGUGAAAUGCUUAGAGAUUACAUGGAAUACCAAUUGCGAAGGCAGGUUACUACUAAUUGAUUGACGCUGAUGGACGAAAGCGUGGGUAGCGAACAGGAUUAGAUACCCUGGUAGUCCACGCCGUAAACGAUGGAUACUAGCUGUUGGGAGCAAUCUCAGUGGCUAAGCGAAAGUGAUAAGUAUCCCACCUGGGGAGUACGUUCGCAAGAAUGAAACUCAAAGGAAUUGACGGGGGCCCGCACAAGCGGUGGAGCAUGUGGUUUAAUUCGAUGAUACGCGAGGAACCUUACCAAGGCUUAAAUGUAGAUUGACCGGUUUGGAAACAGA